AUUGUGUUUGUCGGACAAAAUGUGAAUGCGCGAGAGAUUUUGCUGGUAGACGUCGGGGCAGCUGUGGAGAAUGGAACAGAAAACAGUUGUAAAGUAUGAAAUAUUGUGCUGGGAUGUCAGAUAGCGAGAGGACGGAGGGAGGCCGACCACAGGAGGCUGUGAGCUCACCAUAAACAGAGAGCAUGUGUGUUAGUGAUCCCAACCAGACCACAGAGGCUCGCUCUGCUGCCGACACAAACACAGGAACACUCUCUGUGUGUGUGUGUGUAAAUGUCUACGUAUAUGUACGCGUGUGUGACAGUGUUUGUUUCAAACCACAACACAGCACAGGCAAACAGCUGUCGUAGCCAGCGCGGUCAGCGCCGACCUCAGCCGCGUCCAGACCUGGUUUCACCACAUGUUUUUCACCCUCUGUGGUUCUGGUUCUGCAGUGGAACCGGGCACCUCUGCUCUGACCAUGUUCAUUAGGGAUUUUUCAACAGGGAACUGUUGAUGUACAUUAGCAGGCAGCGGUGGGGGAAGUGGUGCGUGGUAAUGAAGAACAGUACCAGUGCCUGCGGCCAGGAUGGGAGCGAGGCAGUGCAGAGAGGACAAAAUGUACAAACUCCACUUUUAAUAGUCCACGGAUAAAAAAAAAAAAAAAAAGUUAAAUUUAAUCUAUCAACUCUGUAAGUACCAAACAAACAGUUUAUGAUGUUGGUCAUGAUCUUUUAAAAUGAAAGAUGAACCUUAUUAUCGGUCGGAUGAAUAAUUAGCGGUGGUGAAAAAAGUGGCUAAUUUGGCAGCUAACUCAGCUACUUUGCCAUAGUAAUUUUGGGCUAUUGUGAGGGCCCGCCCCGCAGUUUGAGAACCAGGCCCUUAAGGUGGAUUUGACCCCACCCAGUCAGUGUGUGACCCAGUUCAGUUCUAUACAUAGAGUGAAGAAUAACCAGCGGUUCUGUGUGACUUGCUGUUGUUCCUAAAACAGUUUUUUUUUCUCCACUCUUCAUUCUCCUCCACAUCGACUGACACGGACUGAAUACUAAUUAAUACAAUCAAACAGUGGAACCAUAUUUGAGUUGUUUUUUCUUCUUCAGUAACCUCCUGACUCCGUCUACUCCCCAGACUGAUUUGCCGGCUCAUCACUAUCGCUGCCAAAACAGUUCCAACUUCCUCUCUUUUAAUCGUGGAUCAAAGCGCAGCUUUUCGGCGCCGCUGACAUUUUUUUUUUAAAGUCACGUUCUCCCGCUCUGCUGUCGGCUGAUCCUCCUCACCUUCUUCUACCUCCGUCGCUCCCAAAAAGUUCUCCCUCACACUUCCACGUUAUUUCUCUCUCUCCUUUUCCUCCUCCUCCUGUCAGGACUUCAGGUAAAUUAUGAUUCACACCUGGCUUGGUGUUUUCCACCGGUGUUAGAGAACAUGUUUGUGUGUGUGUGUGUGUGUGUGUGUGUGUGUGUGUGUGUCAUUGUGUGAGCCUGGGACUAUAUUGGUGCUGACAGGUCCUGUUGGCAGGUUCGAAUGUGCUGCCAUGCUUCGGUGUCUAACUCCGACUCUGACAGCUCACUGACACAACGGGCAACUUUUUUGUUCAUACUUGUAUUUGUAUAAAUCUUUUCAGAUAUUUUUUUAUUAACUUAAACUCACGGUGACAUCUCUGUCUCCAUCCUCUCUCUCUUUUUAUUUACAGUGUUUUUUGCAGUCUGUUACAGCGGGGCCCAGUAUGACCCGUUCUGCUGCCAACUCUAUGAAGUCCUGGUCCAAAGUGUCACGUUUCAUCCUUCAACCACUAAUGUGACUGUUGGUUUAAGUGCGUUCCACACUCCCACACUGUUUACUUUACACGUGGUGUUUGUGAGUCUAACGGUGACGCUGUACUUGAUCUGGAAUGGAUCGGUUUCCAACAGUAAACUCCACUUGAUUUCCUUCUUUUUUUCCUUCUUUCUUUCUUUUUUUCUCCCAUAAAUCAAUUGAAAAUUUCUGAAUCGUAAAAGCAGUGUCUCAGGUUUAGACACUGACUCGGAGCAAAAUGCCAUUAAAUCAUUUAGAUUCAUUGCAUCCUAAAGUUAAAAAUAACCUCGAGAUGUAACAACAGGUAAAUUUCUGAAAAAAAAAAAAAAAAAAAUUACGCUAAAGUUUAAUAAAGAAGCUAAAACUAGCCAAAACAAUCCGUUAGAACGUGA